rnacentral:rRNA from 1 species
GUAUAGGUAAUAUGCCUUUUACUAAGGGAUAACAGAUGGAAACGUUUGCUAAUACCUUAUACUCCGUUUAUGUAUAAAUGUAAAUGGGAAAGAUUUAUCGGUAAGAGAUUGGCCUGUAUUGUAUCAGUUAGUUGGUGGGGUAAUGGCCUACCAAGACAAUGACGCAUAACUGGUUUGAGAGGAUGAUCAGUCACACUGGAACUGAGACACGGUCCAGACUCCUACGGGAGGCAGCAGUGGGGGAUAUUGCACAAUGGACGGAAGUCUGAUGCAGCAACGCCGCGUGGAGGAUGACACAUUUCGGUGCGUAAACUCCUUUUAUAUAAGAAGAUAAUGACGGUAAUAUAUGAUUAAGCACCGGCUAACUCCGUGCCAGCAGCCGCGGUAAUACGGGGGGUGCAAGCGUUACUCGGAAUCACUGGGCGUAAAGAGCAUGUAGGCGGAUUGAUAAGUUUGAAGUGAAAUCCUAUAGCUUAACUAUAGAACUGCUUUGAAAACUGUUAAUCUAGAAUGUGGGAGAGGUAGAUGGAAUUUCUGGUGUAGGGGUAAAAUCCGUAGAGAUCAGAAGGAAUACCGAUUGCGAAGGCGAUCUACUAGAACACUAUUGACGCUGAGAUGCGAAAGCGUGGGGAGCAAACAGGAUUAGAUACCCUGGUAGUCCACGCCCUAAACGAUGUACACUAGUUGUUGUGAGACUAGAUCUUGCAGUAAUGCAGUUAACACAUUAAGUGUACCGCCU